GAUGAACGCUGGCGGCGUGCCUAAUACAUGCAAGUCGAGCGAAUGGAUUAAGAGCUUGCUCUUAUGAAGUUAGCGGCGGACGGGUGAGUAACACGUGGGUAACCUGCCCAUAAGACUGGGAUAACUCCGGGAAGCCGGGGCUAAUACCGGAUAACAUUUUGAACCGCAUGGCUCGAAACUGAAAGGCGGCUUCGGCUGUCACUUAUGGAUGGACCCGCGUCGCAUUAGCUAGUUGGUGAGGUAAGGGCUCACCAAGGCAACGAUGCGUAGCCGACCUGAGAGGGGUCUCGGCCACACUGGGACUGAGACACGGACCAGACUCCUACGGGAGGCAGCAGUAGGGAAUCUUCCGCAAUGGACGAAAGUCUGACGGAGCAACGCCGCGUGAGUGAUGAAGGCUUUCGGGUCGUAAAACUCUGUUGUUAGGGAAGAACAAGUGCUAGUUGAAUAAGCUGGCACCUUGACGGUACCUAACCAGAAAGCCACGGCUAACUACGUGCCAGCCGCCGCGGUAA
rnacentral:rRNA from 1 species